CUGAGAUAAUUUAGUUGUACUGACUUCAAAAGGUGUUUACUAUCUGCGGCACUGGCUGCAUAUAUUUUUAGUUUAGUGUGAAAUUAGAGAAUGGCUUGAUACUCCUGUUAUUAAAUUGUCGUACCAUUUUGACAUGCAAACUUUUAAAUUCUAGAGGAUAGAAGACAAAGGAAAGGAGUUUGGCUCUACCAUCAAAUCUGGGCAGUUUAGAUGGUUUGUGAGAGAAACAGGAGCACCUGAGAGCCGCCGCGGAACCAUUGUUUUCCUUCAUGGGGCUCCAACACAAUCUUUUAGCUAUCGAGUUGUCAUGUCUCAGAUGGCAGAUUCUGGAUUCCACUGCUUUGCACCUGAUCUGUUAGGGUUUGGUUUCAGUGAC